GAUGAACGCUGGCGGCGUGCCUAAUACAUGCAGGUCGAGCGAACGGACGAGAAGCUUGCUUCCCUGAUGUUAGCGGCGGACGGGUGAGUAACACGUGGAUAACCUACCUAUAAGACUGGGAUAACUUCGGGAAACCGGAGCUAAUACCGGAUGAUAUUUUGAACUGCAUGGUUCAAAAGUGAAAGACGGUAUUGCUGUCACUUAUAGAUUGAUCCGCGCUGCAUUAGCUAGUUGGUAAGGUAACGGCUUACCAAGGCAACGAUGCAUAGCCGACCUGAGAGGGUGAUCGGCCACACUGGCACUGAGACACGGUCCAGACUCCUACGGGAGGCAGCAGUAGGGAAUCUUCCGCGAUGGGCGAAAGCCUGACGGAGCAACGCCGCGUGAGUGAUGAAGGUCUUCGGAUCGUAAAACUCUGUUAUUAGGGAAGAACAUAUGUGUAAGUAACUGUGCACAUCUUGACGGUACCUAAUCAGAAAGCCACGGCUAACUACGUG
rnacentral:rRNA from 1 species